GUCAGGAUGGCCGAGCGGUCUAAGGCGCCAGACUCAAGCUCUGAGGGCGUGGGUUCGAAUCCCACUUCUGACA